CUGGUGUGUGUUGUCGCAGGAGGAGGUCGCAGCGUGGCGCAGCCGCGACGUAACGCGGCGCAGACGCUCCUGGUGUGUUUUGGGGGUUAGACGACGGGGAAAGCGUAGUGGCGCGCUUGCCCAUCAAAAAGCACACCUGACGGCUUCUUCCGUGACUUAUCCACGCAUCAGAUGUCAUGGCCCUCCCGCUGCACGCCAUCCGAGGGUUCGGUGGAUUCACCCUGUCUUUCCGGAGCUGCGGCCUCUGCUGGGCCCGCUGGCAGCUCCUCCUGCCCGACUGACUACUCCCGGUCCGCGCGGCGUUCAACACGCACAUCUUCGUCAGCUGAGACGCACUACACCUUCGGCCAGCCCUGAGAGAAAACUCUGCAUGGCUUUGCUAAAUGCUAGGUCAAUAGCAAACAAGACGUUCCUGUUAAACGACUUCUUCACCUCUCAUGAUCUGGAUUUAAUGUUCCUGACGGAGACCUGGGUCCACACCGGCGAGUUUGUCCAAGAAACUUCUGAAACUUACACAGAACAAGGACUGUGACACGAUGUUGAAGAGGUGGCUGCGCAGCAUAAAAAACCAUGUCUACUGGAGUGCAACGAGCACAACCUCAGGGCCGGAGAAGGUGACAAGGUGGACGUCACUGGUCAACCACCUACAAAACGUUCACGUGCAUGAUGACCCCCUGUUCCCCAAGUGCACACAUCCUGUAGGAGCCGCAAGCGAUGCAAAUAAACCUUACCUAAAAGGUGGCUCAAUAACACUCGCCAGAGUUGAAACGAUACUCACCAACAAGAGAGUUCUCAAAGAUGUGCUAAAGCUAAGCCAUCACUACCAGACUUCAUCCCUGGAGUCCUUCCACAACUUAAUUCUGCGUUUUACCCCAAAAAAUGUGGUUUUCCCCUUCAUUGGAAUGUUGUGCAGGUUGUGUCUAGCAGCAAUGCAUCACAACGAGAAUGCUGGGUGUGACCAAGCGACAACUGCUGCAGGAAAACUUCAAAUUGGCUUAUCCAAAAUCAAAGAGGGGAGAGUGUACGGUCAAGCCUGUUAAGAACGACCCUACAUACAUCUAUGUGGAUGAGCUGACGAGGCUUGUGUUUCACACAGUCUUUCUGGACCCUACACCCUUUGUGGACGAGCUGAAACUAAUCCAUGUCCCAGAGGACCUGUCAACUCAAUUUGACAGGCUCCCCAAGGAGGAAAUGAUUGUCAGCCGUUUCUCCCGUUUCCCCCCAAAGGAGGUCGAAAUCCUACAUAUUGUCCAGCCAGAUCUGGAAACUCCUGGCGGAUCCGGAGCACAACACACGACGGAAUCACCACUCUGAUGCCUCGCCCUAAAUAUCCCCAGCACCAGCUUACAAAGCUAUCGAAAACGCCUAUCAGGAGAGGAAUGGAUGAUGUAGUGUAUAAAUAUAC